GAACAGGAGCGCGCUGUGAUCAAUGAUGAUCGGAGUUCGACCGGUAGCCGCCUGUUUAUCAAAUACGUAGCAUGAGUUUAAUCUAGACGCGGGGCUUGAAUGAAUGGUUGGACGAGGUAAAUACUGUUUUAAAGUGAAUGGAUUUUGAAUUUUUAUUUUAAGUAAAAAUACUUAAGUGAAUUAAGGGACGAGAAGACCCUAUAGAGUUUAAUAAAAAUUUUGAUUUAAAUGUUAAAUAAUUUAUUUUUAUUUGGUUGGGGAGAUGGAAAGAUAAAUUUAACUCUUUUUAAGAUAAAUUAAUGAAUAAUUUUUUGAUCCAUUAUUUAGUGAUUAAAGAUUAAAUUACCUUAGGGAUAACAGCAUAAUUCUUUUUGAUAGUUCAUAUAGAAAAAAGAGAUUGUGACCUCGAUGUUGGAUUGAGAUGCCGUUUAGGUGCAGAUGUUUAUCUAACCGAGUCUGUUCAGACGGCCGAUU
rnacentral:rRNA from 1 species